rnacentral:rRNA from 1 species
UACGUAGGGUGCAAGCGUUGUCCGGAAUUAUUGGGCGUAAAGAGCUCGUAGGCGGUUUGUUGCGUCGGCUGUGAAAUCCCGAGGCUCAACCUCGGGUCUGCAGUCAAUACGAGCAAACUAGAGUGUUGCAGGGGAGACUGGAAUUCCUGGUGUAGCGGUGAAAUGCGCAGAUAUCAGGAAGAACACCCGUGGCGAAGGCGGCUCUCUGGGACGGUACUGGACGCUGAAGACGCGAAAGCGUGGGGAGCGAACAGG